ensembl:lncRNA
UUUACCCAACAGAAAUAGCAUCCAGGUUUUACACAGGCAGGGGAAAUAUUCCAUAAAAACAUUUAAUUAAGUUGCAAAUAGUUCAAGGGUUGUUAAUAUUUACCCUGUAGAAGACGGGCUUCCUUUGUUUGCAGACCUUGAUGUGAAAAUGAUUUUGACCUCACAGGGAAUAGUGGGGGUGAUAUUUGGUUAGUGGUGUUGGCACAGGGACAUAACACAGGUGCCCUUUUGCUGAGCUGGGUCCUGGCAGGGUGACGUGCUGGGGCUGACAGGGUCUGACCUGUCCUGGAGAGCACCAGGCUCUGUGUGAGGGAUGAGGAACCCAGGGACAGCCACAGGCAGAUGCUUUGCAGCUGCAAACCUGCUUGGAUCACAGUAGCAGGCUUUAAUUUAAUGGACUCUUUGGAGGAAUGUUAUUUGUCUGUUAGCAAGAACAUUCUCAGCUGGCCUCCAGGUGAGACUAUGUGCCACAGCAGAGAAAACCCCAGAAAAUUGUCGCUCAGGACCAAAGGAAAGCUGUAACAUCAGGAAGGUGAAUGUAGCUGAAUUCCAGUGCUCAGCCUGGUCCUCCUGUGAGGCUGAACUCUGAUCUAAGACAACUCAGAUCAUUGCAGCACCGUGUGCAGCAGUAUCCUUCACUGAGGGAGAGACCAGGAACUCCUUGAAGCUAAAAUGGAUGUUUGAUGCAACAUGUCGAAACCCAUCCUGAACAAAACUCCACAAAAAAAGGGGGUUCAACACUUGCUGAACUGCAAAACGUUUGCCAGCUGGAUUUAGCUCACUUGGGGCUGGCUGCUUUGAAAACCACGGCUGCUUUGAUCCCAGUCCGAGCAAUGCUGUUGGACCUCUGCUGUACAACGAGCUCGAGGUUGUUUUCUGUGGCAUUUUUAGAAGAGGAGCGGCAAUGGAAAAACCAGGACCUUUCUCUUCUGCAGCCAUGCUGUGAAAGAGGAAAUGGAAAAGAUCACAGCAAGAUCCCACCAGGCUGUUCCACAAUUCCAAUGGCUGGAGGACAAGCCCUCCUCACCGUGAGAGCAAAGCUCUUCCUUGAAAAAUUGUAUUCCCCUUUCAUCUCUUCCAGUUGAGAAUGCAAGAGGAAGGGGGAACACAGGAGUUAAACUCAGUCUUGCACCUACUGGGGAUAGUCCUGAGCCAGCUUUGACAAGAAAUGGUGAAGAUGUCAUUGGGUUUUAAUAUUUAUCUUCUCUGCAGUAGUACUGGUCUGUCAUGGCACGGACUGUGUAACUCAGAAUUUAUUAUUUGGCAUGGGAAAUCAUAAGGAAAUCCUUUACUUAACAAUGGAAAGUGUUUUCAGCCCAUUUAAUAACUGACACUUCCUUGUCUAUUGUUGCUGGGUUUGAUGUGGGAACUGCUGGAGGGAAUCAGUAGCCUUGGCUUUGCCCAGAGGACCAACCAGGCAACUGAUAAAUCUCCUCUGGCUGGGUAUCUUGUUCAGAGCAUUAAAAAUAAGUCACCUACUGAACUACAUAAGGAAAUUUUAUGCACUUGGUUAUCUCUGUUAACUAAAGCUCCAGGCAUUUGGAGCUGGCUUUUGGCAGACAAGGAGCCUUAGUGCUUUCAGGAAAGUCAUUUAUGCCCUGCUCUGGGCACAAGUGUCAGCCUUGCAGGGCUUUGACCAUUUAUGCCCUGCCCUGGGCACAAGUGUCAGCCUUGCAGGGCUUUGAAGGGACAUGUCAGGCAGGGCUUGUGGGCUUGAGGUCAUCUCUCUUGAGUGAUAGUGCUUCCACCCAGGCUCUGCCACAGAUGGGAUGGGAGCCACUCCAUGGAUGGAGGUCAUCUAUAUUUAAAGCCUAUGUAUGCAUAUAGCUCCCUAUCUAUAUGUAUGAAGCCCAUAAUAUUUAACAGCUCCUCAGCCUGAAGUGUAAUACAGGUGUUAAAUCUGUGAGCUCAGACUGGAUCCAUUUUUAGGUUUGUCACAUGCAUCACCUCUGGUUCUGGAACAGUCACAUUCUCCUGGAGCAACUUAAGGACCCUUUGCCACUUUGAAUGAGGAAGGUCUCCUGGAUGGGUUUGCACUGCACUGCAAGGGACUUGCAGGUGCAAUUGUAGCAUAGAUGGUGCUAAUAACUCCAGAAAAUUUAACACACUUAUUUUUGCUUUUCUUCCUAUUCUUUCAACAGAAAAUAACCACCUUAAAAUCAUUUGACCAGGAAAUGCUCACUGCACCCAAAUACAAUAAGAAGUCCAACAAAAAGCAAUCAAGAUAUUAAAGUGGUUAAGAUAUUAAUCAAUUUUCCAAUUCUUUUAAAUGUGGCAAAAUAAACACCCAUCUGGAUAAUUUUUGUUGACACAAAAGUGUACAUUGUGUAGAGAAGCUGCCUUCUUUGAUUUGUCUCAUCCAGUAAUGAAGUAAAUGGUUCUCAGCUUUUCAGCUGCUUUAUCAGGGAGAGCAUUAGCAUGGCUGCUGUGCCAUUUGUCUCCUGUGCCUCCUGACACGUCCCUUGUCCUGCUGUCACAACAGAUAUUUCUGCAGCUGGAGACACUCUGCAGUGAGCACAGCAGCCCAGAGCAGGUACCUGCACUGCAGGAGGGAAGUGGGAGGCCUUGCACAUCCCAAAGAUAUAAAAGGUUGUUGUUUCUCCUUUGCCUCCUGAGAAGGGAAGAGCAUAUUGACAGCACCCUUUAUAUCACAGAAACUGCUGAAACACUCCUCAUUGUCUGAGACAGAAGACAAGGAGCAGUGUUAUGCAUGACUUUUUGAAUUGUUUUUCACCAUUUUGACAGCUGUAAAGCCACAUAAGCCUUCUUUCUGGCCAGUCACAGAAUCACAGACUGAUUGAGGCUGGAAAGGACCCCAGUAGAUCAUCUUGUCUGAAUUCCUUGCUUAAGAAGCAGCACUUAGAGGUAGUUGCUCAGGAUUGUGUCCAGACAACUUUUGGGUAUCUCCAAGGCUGGAGACACCACAGGGUCUCUGGGCAACAUGUGCUUACAGUAAAAAAGUGUUUCCUGAUGUUCAGAGGAACCCUCCUGUGUUUCAGUUUGGGCCUGAUGCCUCUCACUCCUUUACCACCAAAAGAAUCCCAUCUGUCUUUUUUGCACCCUCCCUUUAGUUACUUAUUUAUGUAUUGAUAAGAACCCUAAACCUUCUCUUCUUCAGGCUGAACAGUCCCAUCUCUCUCAGCCUUCCCUCAGGAGAGGUGCUCCAGCCCCUCCAGGGUUUUCAUGGCCCUUUGCUUGAUUACCUCCAGUAUGUCCAUGUCUCUCUUUCACUGAGGAGCCCAGAACUGGACCCAGUUUUCCACAUGUGACCUCAUCAGUGCUGAGCAGAGGGAAAGACCUUUAAGAACCAGAUGGGCCUCUCUUCCCUAUCUUUAUGAAGGCUUUCAUUUGGUGCACUGCAAUAAUAGAAAGGCUCUAGGGUGCCAAAAAACUUCCCUGUCCAUAACACUUGGAAGAUGUCAGUCCUCUUGCUAUGAGCUUGUUUUUCUUGUCAAGGACAGAGCUGACCACUUGUGCUGGCUAAAGAACUGCAGCACUUGGGGCCAGAGGCAAACCUACAACUGGAUUAGUCACAGCUGUUGAGCCUCAAACCAAAAAUCUCCCUUUGGAGAGGCACUGGAAUGCAGCACACAUCCCUCUCUUCUGCCCUAGCACCCCAUCACACAGGUCAGCAUUUCUGUGGUGGUGUCCACGCAAUCAGUGUCAGCCCUCUGUGUUACUGGGCUCAGCAUCACCAAACCCCUCCAAACCCUUACAGAGGGUAGAAUCCAAACUUGGGCAAGAUGGAUUUUGUUUUUUCAAUUUUCUUUCCUAUCCACAACGUGAUAAUUGAAAGCCACAUUCAGAUGAUCAACAAGCCCAUUUCCCAGGAUGGAUGUGCAGGUAGCACAGGAGCAGAGCUGGCUGCUCUCUCACCACCUCACCUGGAGCCACCAGAGCACAGAGGCUGCAAUUCCAGGAGGAUCCAACUGCUGUCUCUACAGUUCUCACAAAUUAAAGUUCACAGAUUUGCUAUACAACCAUGUAUAGAGAAGAUGUCAUGGUCUCAACUACCAAUUUUAUGUCACUAGUUAGGCAAUGUAGCACUGAGAGAGACUGGACACAUAUUUACAGGUAGAUUACAGGUAGGUUUUAAAAGGGCAAAAAACCCACCCCAGCUUGAUAAAAUUCUUUAUUUCUGACUUUUAAAACCAGUAUCCUGAGCACUAUGAAUACAUUGAGCAGAUUAAGUCCUGCCCAGAAAAGCAGCAAGAAUUAAAAUUCCUGAGUAAGUGACAGGCACUAAGCAUCCUUCUGCUCCUAGGCCUAAAAUGUGGCUGUUGCAUGGGACUGACAGCAGACUUAUUCUGGGAAAACGAUUUCUUUAGUUAUUUUGAAGUGUUACAUCUUGUUCUGGUUGUGGAUGCAUCAGUGAAAUCUGAAGGGACAAUCUGCCUUUUUCACAAUAAAUUAAACCCUAAUGUCCUUUAUAAAGCAAUAGGGAGGGAUGAUGCAGGAUUUAGCACAGCUGGGUUUAUUUCACAUUCCUUCUCAAAUUCUUUAUAUAUUUAUGAGCAAACCAUCUUAUUAGUAUGAGACUUUAUUGCCUAAAAUAUAA